rnacentral:rRNA from 1 species
UACGGAGGGUGCAAGCGUUGUCCGGAAUCACUGGGCGUAAAGGGCGCGUAGGCGGUUCAUGAAGGCUGUGGUGAAAGUCCGGGGCUCAACCUCGGAUCGGCCGUGGCGACUCGUGGGCUGGAGCACUGUAGAGGCGGGUGGAAUUCCGGGUGUAGCGGUGGAAUGCGUAGAGAUCCGGAAGAACACCAGUGGCGAAGGCGGCCCGCUGGGCAGUGGCUGACGCUGAU